GGGAAUCUUGGCAUCUCAAGCCUGGUCACGCUCGCUCAAAGAUGCAACCAUGACUGAGAAGCACGAAAUGUGGAUGGCUAAAUAUGGACGUGUUUAUAAAGACAAUGCAGAGAAGGAAAGACGCUUUAAUAUAUUCAAGGAGAAUGCGGAGUUUAUUGAAUCCUGCAACAAUGCUGGGAAUAAGCCUUACAAGCUAGACAUCAAUGAAUUUGCAGACCUAACUAAUGAAGAGUUCAGAGCCUCUAGAAAUGGAUACAAAAGGUCUUACAUUCCCAAGUCAUCAGAAGCAUCAUCAUUUAAGUACGAAAAUGUCACUGCAGUGCCAACCUCCAUUGACUGGAGGAAAAAAGGAGCAGUUACCCCCAUCAAGGACCAAGGCCAAUGUGGUAAGGCACAUUAGCCUAUUUUGUAUU
rnacentral:misc_RNA from 1 species